GAGGUCUGUCUGCAUUACAUCCAGGUGAUGAGCGCAGGUCAACAGCAAUGUAUAGAUGUUUGUGCAUGAUCAGACAACCACCUUGCAUGCACAGUUCUGCACAUAAUUGCAUCUUGCACACAAUAGUCCACUGUGUAUUACAUCCAUGCCUUGCUUCUCCUGUGAGUUUACAUCCAUUUGCAUCUAUGGACAUGUGCCUCAGUGCACAACAGCCAUCUCAUUUUUCUAUGAUUCUGUGUGAAAGGACACAGUAACAGGCUGCAAGACAGGGGUCAGGGACAGUCGACUGUGAGUCUCAGUAAAUAAAUGCCGGUUCUCUCAUCUCUGAAACUGUAGAUGGCAAAUUAUCCAGUUAGAAAAGAGGAGAAAGAAUCAAGGAGAAGGAACAAAUUGGAGAGAAAAGAUUGUAGAAAAGACAUGAGAUGAGACCUUUAAAGCCCCACUCCGAUUGUUUUUUUUUUUGCUACUUAAAGUGUUCUCAGUGGUCUUUAAAUUGAGAUUAUGAAUUUUUUUUUUAACCCAAAUCACAGUUCCUGUGUCAUUUAAGGUUUUUUCUUCAGCAGAGCUCCAGUAGCUCAUGAGCAAUCCGCCUCUGAGUCGUGGGCGGAGACAGCACUGCUCUGUACACUCCUUUUUAUGCUAGCUUACAGCCUGAUGUUGCUGGUGCAGCAGAAGUGGCAGGUAAUAUAGAAGCUUCUCAGCUCCUGGACACUAAUGUCUUUAGGGACAUGAUGAUAUAAUUUUUUUUUUUUUUUUUUUUUACGAGCAUUUCAAUCCACUAACACACACACUUGUUCAGCUAUCGUCCUUUCUACUUUUCUGAGUUUGGUCUGCAUCCAUUUGUGAGGUGAAUUUCUGCUGAUUACGGACAGCAGGAAUCGCAAGAACUCACAAGUAACUGCGGAUUCAUGUGCAAUUGCUCAAUAAUGAGUUGUCUCUAUAAAGACAGCCACAUGACCAUAUAAGCAGUAGAUUGUGUCCUUCCAGAGGAGGAAAUCUACUUCUAGACUUAUAAAAUCAGCAUUUUCUCAUCCAUGGUGUCAUCGGGGUAAAAUGCUGUCUAAAAACCUUUCACUUGUUUGUCCCCGCCCGUUUGCAUGGUGUGAAAUACGAUCUGCCUGAAACACGUAGUGUUUUAUUUUGAAAAGAGGCCGGAUGUUUUAUUUUAUGUGUGUGCCCGACUUCCUUUCCAUCAGAGGUUGAUCUGUGCUGAAUUUAUCCGGCAUGCUCAGGUGUCCGGAAAAAAACAACUCUUGCAAUCAGCUGCGUCAUCCGGCGAUCCGCAGCGGAAUGGAAAGAAGCCAGUGAAAAUCGACACAUUCAGCUGCAAUCGGCGGAUAUGGUCUUUUCGUUGCCAUUCCGGAUGCGGUAGAAAUUGAAGGUUAGUUUUCUCUUGACAUGUUGUGUAGCAUCAGAAAAAUGACAUAUGAAGUUGUGACAGCAAGAAAAACAUGAUUUUGAUCAAAGUGGUUCUUUAAGGCUGAAAUGUGAUGCCAACACUGAAAUGUAAUAAACUGCAGUUCUUUAAGGGGCCACUUGACGAGCUCCAAAUGUGUGUAGAUCUGUAUUGGAUUCAAUUUAAAAAGAAAAAAGCUUCGUUUUAAGGCAACAUAAAACAUGUAAGGACCCUGAAGUUUGGGGCCAGGCAGGGAAAUUUGGGAUCUAGCACUUUUCUUUUUCCCAUGGUUGAAUUUUCAUCUCGCUCAAAUGUUCACGACUCAGUUUUGAUUGUAGCUGAGCAAAAUUUGAGUGAUAAAUUGGUGGCUGAAAUGGAAAACUUGAAAGUUAUGUUUGAUUUUAUUUAUUUUUUUGUUGCUGUUUGUCUUUUUGGAAAGAAAAGAGAAAAAAAAAGAGGUUCCGAUCAUAAAUGAAGUUUCUGGGUCAUACUGCCUGGUCCCCAUGGCAACUGCUAGAAAGCUUCACUUGAAAAAUUAAGAAACCGAUGAUGACAAAGAAGUUGCUACUCCUGUUACAUUAGCAGGUGCAGCUUGUACAGAAAAAAAAAAAAGUUUGCAACUGUGAUUAGGUGUUGGCCACAGUGCAGGUGAAUGGUAUUUUUAGCUCAACCUUUUGGUUUAUUUUCGUGGGUGUCAGAGGCCAAAUGGUCGCUGACAAACUGUCAUGCACAUUAAGAAACACAUACCGUUCAAGCAAAUGCAAAUAAAGUGAGCUCAUUCCUCACCUUCAGCUAUAUACGGCACAGAGAGUCUCUGGAGACGCCACUCUGUGGUAGUUGAGGCACAAUUAGAAAGAGAGCUCUAAUUAAAGCAGCAAAAGAAGCUACUUCACCCUACCUGUAUGUUAAAAUAGGUCAGUGGGGGCUUUCGGUUCUCAACAUCUAAAGGCUGUUCUCUCAUUUUAAUAAGAUGUGGAGAUUUUCAAUUAGUUGCUGCAUAAGUUUCCCUGUAUAUUUGCAUUAUAGGUUAUAUAAGUGUAGCUGAAAACAAAUUAAAGCAAUGCAGCAGAGACAAAGUAAUGACAUACAUUAGUCAAUGGGACACAGAGUACAGUCAGCACACACAUGCAUGUAUAUUCAUAUUUAACCCCUUAGAUCUGGACAUUAAUGUAUUCAAAUUGGAAUUUCACCACUGUCAGAGUAUGUGUAUGAGUUCAUUAGCUGCAUGAUAUGACUGUGAUUGAAUCUGACAUGCGUUAUCAAACAUAAUCUGUCUCUCUUUUGACCUCUCCUCCAUAUCCAUCUCUGUCAUUAGCUUCACGCUUGCUUGCCUGCUUCCUGUACUAUCAAAUGGAAGCAUCACAGCAGACACUCUCAUACUGUAGUGGUCAAGAGUGGGAAAAGUCCAACAGUGGCCCUUGUUUUGACACAUGAAGUGAUGUUUUAGAGAAAAGGGGUGAUGAGGGUGUGCACUUGCAAUCGUCGUGGAACAUAUUUCAACGUAUUUUCCUUCGAACAUCCGCAGCAGCAAUCCAGAGGAACCUACGCCAUGAUGGAGUCACAGGAAGUCCCAGAAAAAGACUGUAUUAGCGACUCUAAUGGGACAUGAUGAUUCAAAGUUCAUGACACGGACAGAAAGAGGACUUGGAAGGAGGGGAGGGUGCUCAACG